CACGUAGGGACCAAGCGUUGUCCGGAUUCAUUGGGCGUAAAGAGCUCGUAGGCGGCUCAGUAAGUCGGGUGUGAAACCUCCAGGCUCAACCUGGAGACGCCACCCGAUACUGCUGUGGCUAGAGUCCAGUAGGGGAGCGUGGAAUUCCAGGUGUAGCGGUGAAAUGCGUAGAUAUCUGGAGGAACACCGGUGGCGAAGGCGGCAUCCUGGACCGGUAUUGACGCUGAUGCGCGAAAGCCAGGGGAGCAAACGGG
rnacentral:rRNA from 1 species